UACAGAGGGGGCAAGCGUUGUUCGGAAUUACUGGGCGUAAAGGGCGCGUAGGCGGCCUGCUAAGUCGAACGUGAAAUCCCCGGGCUCAACCCGGGAACUGCGUCCGAUACUGGUUGGCUUGAAUCCGGGAGAGGGAUGCGGAAUUCCAGGUGUAGCGGUGAAAUGCGUAGAUAUCUGGAGGAACACCGGUGGCGAAGGCGGCAUCCUGGACCGGCAUUGACGCUGAACGGCGAAAGCUAGGGGAGCAAACGGG
rnacentral:rRNA from 1 species